rnacentral:lncRNA from 1 species
AUGCACCCACAUACACGCACAUCAGGUAUAUAUAUAUACAUAUACACACACAUACACAACGCAUGCCCGCCACACCCACAGACACCACAUCCACACAUACACACUGCAUGUGCAAUAUACACAAACAUCACACAUGCCACACCACACACUGAGCACAAAGGCGUACACAGCAGACACCGUCCCCCGAUACAGGGCACCAUACCACAUACACACCGUGCGCACAUUCACACACAGCAUAUACACACCCCACCCAGAAAGAUACCCACACACAUCCAGAUCCUACAGCGCACACACAAAGACCACGUUUCUCACCACAAAUACACAGUGUUACACAUGCCGCGUGCACCACACACCAAGCACCAACGUGCAAACACCUUCCCCCACCCCCACCGUGCCGCACCCGCUCUCACACACAGUUACAACACACACAUCACAAAAAGUGCAGCUACACAUCCACACGCCUUUCCCUUCUCCCUCAGCUGCUCUGGGAGCUGCGGGAGCUGCGUCAGCUUUGAAGAAGUGACUCAACUUCCAGGGCUUGUUUCUACAAGUGCGAAGUCCCUCAUCAGCUGUGGCCACCUCCCUGAGAAGGCACGCAGGCUUAGGAAGGCGGCAGAGUUUAUCGACACGGUCUUACAGACAAGGAUGCCAAGAAUCAGAAAGAUGCCACUAUGUGUCUGGAAUCUCCAUCUCCCAGGGAGGAGUCCAAGGCGGGUAGCCUGGGUUUGAGUCCCCUUCAGCCCCUGUAGGUUACCUGCCAUCUCUAAGGUCCAGGUUCCUAGUCUGUGAAAUGAAAAUGUUCCAAGCCCCUUGGGGAUGAAGGAGGACCAGAUGGGAUUCUGUCCAGAGCACCCGCUGUGGCAGGGGCUCCAUGGGAAAGCUGAGUAUCGUAUGGAGUACCUGUUACAUUCUUUCCCCUGGCCCCAGCCCCAUAGUCUCUGCAAACAGUUCCAUGCAGUUUCAACAGCUUUUCUGCUUGGGGAGGGGGAGAGGGUGAUCUCCUGCCCAGCUUCUCUGGCCCGCUGUAAAACUUUGCUCAGCUUCUAAGGAUGGAUUAUCCGAGAGAUUGAUGCUGCAGGGACCACUCCUGACCUAGGGCGGGGCUGGAACUGUUGAAUAAAUCCCAUUGAAUAAAUAACAUCCUCUUUUCAUUCUCCCAGGUGGAUUGUUCUCAGAUAUAUUUUACCUGGCAGGAGACUGAACCACAAGCACUCCUAGUCAUGGCCGAAUUGAUGGCAUAUUUUUACCUUCGUGUCUCUUCCUUCCUGUUUUACUCACUGGUGCUUCACUCACUGUCCUUGGGAUCACUUCCAAAAUAAAGUACCAAGAUGCAAGCCUCUAACUCGGGCUCUUCAUUUGGGAACCCAGGCUGGAACAAGGUGGGAGAUAAGCCAGGCCUCUGCCUCCAGGGUCGGGAGUUCCUCAGUCUAUACACACACACACACACACACUUUGCUCCACAUCCAUAGCAAGAAAGUGGAACAAGGGGUGAGUUUGAUGAACUCUAGAGUGCUUCCAUACCCCACUCCAGUACUCUUACCUGGAAAAUCCCACGGAUGGAGGAGCCUGGUGGGCUGCAGUCCAUGGGGUCGCUAAAAGUCGGACACGACUGAGCAACUUCACUUUCACUUUUCGCUUUCAUGCAUUGGAGAAGGAAAUGGCAACCCACUCCAGUGUUCUUGCCUGGAGAAUCCCAGGGACGGGGGAGCCUGGUGGGCUGCCAUCUAUGGGGUCGCACAAAGUCGGACACGACUGAAGUGACUUAGCAGCAGCAGAGUGUUUCCAGGGCAGCCCAUAAAUUGCCAGUGGCCCCCAAAGGGUGGGGAAUGUGCCUGUCAGGACUCUUAAGGACUCUUGGGUUCUUGGGCUUUAAUGGGCCUAGUGUUCACCCCAAGAUACCCUGGCAGCCGCAGCCACCUUACACCUGGGACUAUCAGCAGGUGAAGCCCAGAGCUGUUUCCCUGAUGUGAUUUAAGGGUGCCAUUAGGGUCUGUGAUACAAAUAGAUGAUAGGGGUGGGGUGCCAUGUUAACCCCGGGAUAUUUGCCCCAGUGGGGUAAGUUGGAGUUUGCAGAGGACAGGGCAGUCCCAGGUGAGAGCCAUAUGCUUACCCCCACCCUCCCAGCCCCCACCUUAAGCUGCCAUUUACUGAUAACCAGUUAUGACUUAUGCUAACGUUCCAUGCACAUCAGUCUUUUCUUAACCCAACUUCACAGUAGGAUCCCCUGGAGCAAUUUUUAAAAUGCCAGCACUGAUUUUCACUGGUCUGAGGGUGGGGCUUGGGCAUCCAGAAAAUUCCUUAAUAAUUUUCAUGGGCAACGGGGUUUGAGAACCAUUGAUACAAAGCAUCUUUUUCCAACUCACCUGCAGUCUUCCCAGGAAGAUAUUCUUACCCCUUGCCUGGCCCUAAGAAUGGGAGGCCCUAAGUCUCUUGGAGCACUUAAGACCCACAGCCAGUUAGCCAUGGAACAAAGAGUCAAGUGCAGCUCGGUCUGACACUGAAGUGUCAAGCUCCGACAAGAAAACUUGCCAAAUUUCUUUUCUAAAAAACCCAGCAGAGGGUAAGCCUAUCCCUUCAGGAGCAGACAUUAGGGUUUCUAAAGCAGACUGGGAAGUUUUUGCAGUCCUAUACUCCACCUCGGUCUCCUUAUUUGCUUUCAUGAAAGAUGAGAUUUUCAUAUUUUUCUAUAAAGUUGAUAUUCCAGGGAUAUAGGCUGGGGUCAUUCAGACCACACCAUGGUUUGCAGAGGGAUCACGACAUUGUGGUUUGAGCAACUCACUUAUGAUCUGUGUCCCUGUCUCCCCUAAAUGGGCAAGAGAGAAUUUGGGAUCACCAUGAGGGGAUGGGUGUGGAUGGAGGAGAUGGCAGAAUAUGGAGGAAGGAAGAGGUUCCUUCAAGGUCAGUUCUGAUAGUAUUCCCCAUCGUGUUGGAAAAGAAAGUUCUUAGCUCUGGGUGAUGCAGGCUUUAAAAGUUGGUGCAAGAACAUGUUCCUAAUAUGGAUUUCACUUGUCUUACAUUGCAGAGGUCAACAAGUAUUUUCAGUGGAGAGUCAGAUAGUAAAUAUUUUAGGCCUGUGGUCCAUCUGGUCUCUGUCACAACUGCUCAACUCUGUGAUUGUUUUAUAAAAGUAGCCUUAGACACUGCAGACACAAACGGGUGUGGCUGUCAUCCAAUGAAACAUCAGUUACAGAAACUGGCAGGCCCAGCGGAUUCGGCC